UAGGCAGGUACAGAGGGCAGCUACCCAGCAAUGGGAUGCGAAUCUCGAAAGCCUGUCUCAGUUCGGACUGGAGUCUGCAACCCGACUCCACGAAGUUGGAUUCGCUAGUAAUCGCGCAUCAGCCAUGGCGCGGUGAAUACGUUCCCGGGCCUUGUACACACCGCCCGUCAAGCCAUGGGAGCCGGGGGCGCCUGAAGUCCGGGACCGCGAGGACCGGCCUAGGGCGAAACUGGUAACUGGGGCUAAGUCGUAACAAGGUACC
rnacentral:rRNA from 1 species